AGUUUCCCACUAACACCCAGAGUGGGGGGACAUUCUGGGGGAAUUUGUACAGCUUCACGCCAUACUUCGCCCGCUUAGAGGGAACAUACUGGCGGAAAAUUAGUCUACCCUUGAAAGCAAUAAUAAACUCAUCAACAGCGAGCUCCCUUCCAGGUACAUAGGCCUCCAAAAA